AGCAGUAGCCACGGUAAAACGUAGGGUGCAAGCGUUAAUCGGAAUUACUGGGCGUAAAGCGUGCGCAGGCGGUUAUAUAAGACAGAUGUGAAAUCCCCGGGCUCAACCUGGGAACUGCAUUUGUGACUGUAUAGCUAGAGUACGGCAGAGGGGGAUGGAAUUCCGCGUGUAGCAGUGAAAUGCGUAGAUAUGCGGAGGAACACCGAUGGCGAAGGCAAUCCCCUGGGCCUGUACUGACGCUCAUGCACGAAAGCGUGGGGAGCAAACAGGAUUAGAUACCCCCGUAGUCCCUGUCUCUUAUAC
rnacentral:rRNA from 1 species